rnacentral:lncRNA from 1 species
GGAGGGUAUAGGGGACUUUCAGAGAGAAAACUAGGAAAGGGAAUACCAUUUGAAAUGUAAAUGAAGAAAAUAUCUAAUAAAAAAUCCAAAAAAAAGAAAUGUAAAUGAAGAAAAUAUCUAAUAAAAAAAAAGAAAGAAAGAAAGAAAGAAAGAAAGAAAGAAAGAAAGAAAGAAGGAAAGAAAGAAAGAAAGAAAAAAGAAAAAUUGUAAUUUGUAUUUGGCUACUACAGUAAAUUGAAUUAUUUAGGUUUAAUUGAUAACUCAUUUUUGUAGACAACUACAGAUAAAAUGUCUUUUAUUUUAUAAAAUUAAGAGGAAAAGGCCAGGUGGUGGUGGUGCACACCUUUAAUCUUAACACUUGGGAGGCAGAGGCAGGUCAGCCUUCUCUACAGAGUGAGCUUUAGGACAGCCAGGGAAACACAGAGAAACCCAGACUCAGGAAAAAAAGGAACAAAGUAUAAGAAGAGGAGGGAAGACAGACUGUGUCUGUAAGUAAGCCUGAAAUCUUUCAAUGGGUAGGAUAAGGGUGAGUGUAGUGUGAUUUAAUAUCUGAGUGGCUGAACUAGCUCAGAGUCAAGAGUGCUGGGGCUUGGUAGUAGAGCCAGCAGCUGUUGAACUAGCUUAGUGUGAGGAAGUGCUGGUGUUUAGUAGUAGAUGUAGGAGCUAAUGCCAGUUGUUAAUUUACUCAACCGGUCACUCAUUAUUUGUGCAAUAAAUAUUGUUUUUACUUGACUUUUACCAUAAAUAUGAUUAUUUCUUCUAUAAGAGUCCUUGUUAAAUUAGGUCCUUGCUGUGAAUGGUAUAAAUUAUACACUGAAAUUAGUAUACAAAUCUUUAUUGAUUGACUAAAGGUUGUUUUCUGACUAGAAAGCCAAUAGUCUCCUCCUACUGCUGAGGUGGGAUGAAGGUGCCGUUUAAGUAAUGGGAGCUUGUAUCUUCCUUUCCCAUGGCAACUCAUGCAAUCGGUGUUUUCAUUCAGUUGUAGGCAUACAAUGUGUGAUGAAUACUGGGGUUCGGGAAGGAUUUUUACCUGAUGUUAGGUGCCAGGAUAAGGCAACUGCUUGUAAGAGAUAUUACUGUCUUCUAUUAUCUGCCAGCUAACCACACAUUCGGAGAGAGAAAUCCUGCAGCCAGAGAAUGAGUUCUAUUUCUACCUGUCAGAAUUCCUUUUUGAUAUCAUCUGUGGAUUCUAACACAAACUAACAGAAGAGAACUCUGAACGUAUUUGACCACUUGUUAACUUGGACCUUUAUCACAUUCACACCGAAAGCUCAAUGAUAUAAUACUCCAAGCACUUUGGCUUAUGAGCAUUGGAUUAAAGAACAACGUUUAGGGCCAAAGGUGGUACCACAUGCCUGAUAUCCCAACACUGGGGAGGCUGAGUCAAGAGGACCCCCAAUCUAAGGCCAGCCUGGGCUACCUACUGAAUUCCAGGGAAGCCUGGAUUACAAAGUAAAUAUUAUCUUGAGCAAGAACAACAUAAAACCCAAAGACCUACGUUUUAAGUUUUCAUUAUAAAUGUGUUAUCAAGUAAGCGAAACUGCUGCUUUCAGUCUCUUCUUUAUGUAGAGAGAAUCACACCAGUGUUCUGCUUAUCUUACAGGAGAAGAAACCAAAUACAUUGUGUGUGAUGUUUUCCUCUUGGAUCUGUAAUGGCUACGGUUAUUCAAUGUUGGGACACGUAACUGGACAAUCACAUGUCUGAGAGUUGCAUGACUUGUUUUCAUAAAUAAGGCGGCUUUUCCUCUUGGGAUAAUAGGCCACACCUAACAUAGUGUGAGGCAGUUAUUGCUAGAAGCCAAGUGCUCAUCAAGGUUUUAUUCCUAAUUUCCUUUGGUCAAUAACUCCAGUUCUAAGAGACAAUAAGAACUGAAUGGUAUAAUAUUAGGCAUGGCAUUUCUUGAGGAAAUCUCAGGUCACUGACUAAAAUAUUUUGCUUAACAUCUGGCAAUUGUCUAUAUAAUGUUACUUAUGAGUACGUGUAUAAAGCUAAAAUUAUUUAUGGGGGGGUUGUUAUCCUCCUUUUGCUUCUUAAUAUCUUUUGGAGGUUUCUACCUCACUUACGCCUGUUUUACACCCAAGAAAAUGACACAAAAACACGGUAAAUUUUUUAAUUAACUGUAGGUGCUAUGAUUCUGAGCAAUACUAAUCCUUCCAUGCUGUUAAAAGCCACAUGAAUGCCCCAUGACUUGCCAAAUUAAAGUCUCCUGAGAAUCUUCUGCUGUAGUUGCCUAAUCUCAGAGCAAACUUCUCUUGGCCAUGUGCUCCUGGCCCAUCCCACUUAAUGGCUACCUCCUUCUCCUCCCUCCCCUUCUUCCUUCUUCUCAACACCCCUACCUGAGACCACCCCUACUUGAUCUCUAGUCCAACCUUUCUCUCUCUCUCCUGCCAAAUCACAGGCCCCAGGCUUUUAUUAUCAAAUCAGAGAUUAUCCAGUAGCAUUCUUUGCCACACAUUGGUCAAUACAAUCCCCAUGUCCUGACUGCAACCUGAUAUUGGUGCACAGAGCUCAGCCUCUGAAUACAAGGUGCACAAGGCUAACCCCAACCCCUGUGUAUAUGUAUUUUUAAAUGCCAGGGAACAGAAUAAGACUCUGGUGAUGACUUUAAAGUCUGAGGGUCUCGGGACAGUUCUAGUUCUCUAACUGUACUGAAAUACUAAUGAUAACUUCU